rnacentral:tRNA from 1 species
GCGCCAGUAGUGUAAUGGCAUAUAACAUUCCCGAACGGUCAGCAGGACGUGAGGGUUCGAGUCCCGCCUGGCGCU